rnacentral:lncRNA from 1 species
GAGGGAGGAAAGGGAGGAAGGAAGGAGGGAGGGAGGAAGGAAGGGAGGGAGGACGGCUGUUCCCUCCUGUCUCGUUAUUAAUAUUAUUUUAUGUUCCAGUCCUCCUCAGUCAGUAACAAAGAGCCUCACAGGGAACAUUAAGACAAAAAGUGAAGAAGUUCUGAUGUGAGCGGUCCAAAGUUCUUCUCUCAGCAGUCACAGUGGAUGAAUGUGAGCUCGGUCCAGAGUGAAGUUCUGCACGAACAGAAUUCCUUCAGGUUAACUUCUGUAAACUCUGACGGUGGAGAGACGAGCGGCGCUGGUGAGGACUGAACACGGCAGCAGACCGACACACCGAACAGAUCCCUGCUGAGCUGAUCGCUGUCGAACACUGGUGACACUCCAAAGCGCCUGCACAAGGUAAACACACACACACACACACACACACACACACACACACACACACAGGACCAAUUUGUAAUUAGUCUGCAUGUGCGUGUGAUGAAUUCUUGGGUUUGUACCUCCUGCAGUCGGGCCGCUACAAUCGGUUAGAAACCACAUCCAUCAUGACAGGACACACACACACACACACACACACACACACACACACACACACACACACCACACACAC